GGGGCGGUAGCACAAUGGCUAAUGCAGGUACCUAUCAAGUUCUUUAUACGGGUUCAAUCCCCGUCCGCUCCA
rnacentral:tRNA from 1 species